GAUGAACGCUAGCGGCAGGCCUAACACAUGCAAGUCGAGGGAGGAGCCUUCGGGCUUCGACCGGCGUACGGGUGCGUAACGCGUAUACAAUCUGCCUUUCACAUAGGGAUAGCCCGAAGAAAUUUGGAUUAAUACCUAAUGGUAUAUAGGGGUGGCAUCACCUUUAUAUUAAAGCUGAGGCGGUGAAAGAUGAGUAUGCGUUCUAUUAGCUAGUUGGAGAGGUAACGGCUCCCCAAGGCUACGAUAGAUAGGGGUUCUGAGAGGGAUAUCCCCCACACUGGUACUGAGAUACGGACCAGACUCCUACGGGAGGCAGCAGUGAGGAAUAUUGGACAAUGGUCGGAAGACUGAUCCAGCCAUGCCGCGUGCAGGAGGACGGCCUUAUGGGUUGUAAACUGCUUUUGCAGGGGAAGAAUAAGGAGUACGUGUACUUUGAUGACGGUACUCUGCGAAUAAGCAUCGGCUAACUCCGUGCUAGCAGCCGCGGUAAUACGGAGGAUGCGAGCGUUAUCCGGAAUCAUUGGGUUUAAAGGGUCCGUAGGCGGGCUAAUAAGUCAGAGGUGAAAGCGCUCAGCUCAACUGAGCAACUGCCUUUGAAACUGUUAGUCUUGAAUGGUUGUGAAGUAGUUGGAAUGUGUAGUGUAGCGGUGAAAUGCUUAGAUAUUACACAGAACACCGAUAGCGAAGGCAUAUUACUAACAAUUAAUUGACGCUGAUGGACGAAAGCGUGGGGAGCGAACAGG
rnacentral:rRNA from 1 species